rnacentral:rRNA from 1 species
GUCUCGCGAUGCUUAGAUUAAGUUGAUCCUGGCUCAGACCUGAACGCUNGCGGUAGGCCUAACACAUGCAAGUCGAACGGCAGCACAGAGGAGCUUGCUCCUUGGGUGGCGAGUGGCGGACGGGUGAGGAAUACAUCGGAAUCUACUCUGUCGUGGGGGAUAACGUAGGGAAACUUACGCUAAUACCGCAUACGACCUACGGGUGAAAGCAGGGGAUCUUCGGACCUUGCGCGAUUGAAUGAGCCGAUGUCGGAUUAGCUAGUUGGCGGGGUAAAGGCCCACCAAGGCGACGAUCCGUAGCUGGUCUGAGAGGAUGAUCCGCCACACUGGGACUGAGACACGGCCCAGACUCCUACGGGAGGCAGCAGU